rnacentral:rRNA from 1 species
GACGAACGCUGGCGGCGUGCCUAAUACAUGCAAGUCGAACGCAUUUUCUUUCACCGUAGCUUGCUACACCGAAAGAAAAUGAGUGGCGAACGGGUGAGUAACACGUGGGUAACCUGCCCAUCAGCGGGGGAUAACACUUGGAAACAGGUGCUAAUACCUCAUAAUUCCAUUUACCGCAUGGUAAGUGGAUGAAAGGCGCUUUUGCGUAACUGUUGGAUGGACCCGCGGUGCAUUAGCUAGUUGGUGGGGUAACGGGCUACCAAGGCUGCGAUGCAUAGCCGACCGGGGAGGGGGAUCGGCCACACUGGGACUGAGACACGGCCCAGACUCCUACGGGAGGCAGCAGGAGGGAAUCUUCGGCAAUGGACGCAAGUCUGACCGAGCAACGCCGCGUGAAUGAAGAAGGUUUUCGGAUCGGAAAACUCUGUUGUUAGAGAAGAACAAGGAUGAGAGUGGAAAGUUCAUCCCUUGACGGUAUCUAACCAGAAAGCCACGGCUAACUACGUG